GUCAGCUCGUGUCGUGAGAUGUUGGGUUAAGUCCCGCAACGAGCGCAACCCUUAUCUUUAGUUGCCAGCAUUCAGUUGGGCACUCUAGAGAGACUGCCGUCGACAAGACGGAGGAAGGCGGGGAUGACGUCAAAUCAUCAUGCCCCUUAUGACCUGGGCUACACACGUGCUACAAUGGUUGGUACAACGGGAUGCUACCUCGCGAGAGGACGCCAAUCUCUUAAAACCAAUCUCAGUUCGGAUUGUAGGCUGCAACUCGCCUACAUGAAGUCGGAAUCGCUAGUAAUCGCGGAUCAGCAUGCCGCGGU
rnacentral:rRNA from 7 species